rnacentral:rRNA from 1 species
CAAAGGUAGCGUAAUCACUUGUUCUUUAAUUGAGGACUAGUAUGAACGGNCCCACGAGGACUACACUGUCUCCUUUUUCUNAUCACAUGANAACUGAUNUCCUUCGUGAAGAAGCGNGGAUGGAAGNAUGACGAGAAGACCCUAUGGAGCUUUAAACAACCGNGNUACUUGCUAAAUUCCUAAAUUUNACUUNCUGAAAACUAAACAAAUUAAAGCAUCUUACCCCCUAGUUUUAGGUUGGGGUGACCACGGAGAAAAAANCAACCUCCACGCUGUAAGAAGCCUCNCNNCUUCUAAGCUAAAAGNNACAGCUCUAAAGCAUCAACACAUUGACCUCCAUUGACCCAAUAAUUUGACCAACGAAACCAAGUUACCCUAGGGAUAACAGCGCAAUCUACUUUGAGAGCUCAUAUCGA